rnacentral:rRNA from 1 species
GGAUGCGAUCAUACCAGCACUAAAGCAUCGGAUCCCAUCAGAACUCCGAAGUUAAGCGUGCUUGGGCGAGAGUAGUACUAGGAUGGGUGACCUCGUGCUGCAUUCC